rnacentral:rRNA from 1 species
GACGAACGCUGGCGGCGUGCUUAACACAUGCAAAUCGAACGGUAAGGCCCUUCGGGGUACACGAGUGGCGAACGGGUGAGUAACACGUGGGUGAUCUGCCCUGCACUUCGGGAUAAGCCAGGGAAGCUGGGUCUAAUACCGGAUAGGACUCCGGACUGCAUGGUCUGGGGUGGAAAGCUUUUGCGGUGUGGGAUGGGCCCGCGGCCUAUCAGCUUGUUGGUGGGGUGAUGGCCUACCAAGGCGACGACGGGUAGCCGGCCUGAGAGGGUGACCGGCCACACUGGGACUGAGAUACGGCCCAGACUCCUACGGGAGGCAGCAGUGGGGAAUAUUGCACAAUGGGCGCAAGCCUGAUGCAGCGACGCCGCGUGAGGGAUGACGGCCUUCGGGUUGUAAACCUCUUUCAGCAUCGACGAAGCGAAAGUGACGGUAGGUGCAGAAGAAGGACCGGCCAACUACGUGCCAGCCGCCGCCGUAA